rnacentral:rRNA from 1 species
CCCUUAGAUGUUCUGGGCAGCACGCGCGCUACAAUGGUCUUCGCAAACGGAUGCAUUCUCGAAGGAGAAUGCCAAUCUUGGAAUCUAUGCCUUGGUCGGGACAGUUGCUUGCAAUUUUUCGACUCGAACCAGGAAUUCCUUGUAAUCGUGAUUCAUCACAUCACGAUGAAUACGUCCCUGCCCUUUGUACACACCGCCCGUCGCUCCUACCGAUCGAAGAGUUAGGUGAAUUGUUUUGAUCGAUAAGAUUUGACUAUGGUCAACUCUCGUUGUGAAAUUCUGUGAAUCUGACUCUUUAGAGGAAGGAAAAGUCGUAACA